UACGUAGGGUGCGAGCGUUAAUCGGAAUUAUUGGGCGUAAAGGGCACGCAGGCGGUUAUACAAGUCCGAUGUUAAAGACCUGGGCUUAACCCAGGGGAUGCGUUGGAAACUGUAUGACUAGAAUCUUGGAGGGGGAGUCGGAAUUCCUAGUGUAGGGGUGAAAUCUGUUGAUAUUAGGAAGAACACCGGUGGCGAAGGCGGACUCCUGGCCGAAGAUUGACGCUGAGGUGCGAAAGCAUAGGGAGCAAACAGG
rnacentral:rRNA from 1 species